rnacentral:tRNA from 1 species
CGGGGCGUGGCGCAGCCUGGUCAGCGCGAAUGCUUUGGGAGCAUUAGGCCGGAGGUUCAAAUCCUCUCGCCCCGACCA